rnacentral:rRNA from 1 species
GGCGAGCGGCGAACGGGUGAGUAAUACAUCGGAACGUGUCCUUUCGUGGGGGAUAACCAGUCGAAAGACUGGCUAAUACCGCAUGAGAUCUCACGAUGAAAGCGAGGGACCGCAAGGCCUCGCGCGAUUGGAGCGGCCGAUGUCGGAUUAGCUAGUUGGCGGGGUAAAAGCCCACCAAGGCGACGAUCCGUAGCUGGUUUGAGAGAACGACCAGCCACACUGGGACUGAGACACGGCCCAGACUCCUACGGGAGGCAGCAGUGGGGAAUUUUGGACAAUGGGCGCAAGCCUGAUCCAGCCAUGCCGCGUGUGUGAAGAAGGCCUUCGGCUUGUAAAGCACUUUCGGCCGGAACGAAAUCGCCUCCGUUAAUAGCGAGGGUGGAUGACGGUACCGGAAGAAGAAGCACCGGCUAACUACGUGCCAGCAGCCGCGGUAAUACGUAGGGUGCGAGCGUUAAUCGGAAUUACUGGGCGUAAAGGGUGCGCAGGCGGCGUCGCAAGUCAGGCGUGAAAUCCCCGGGCUUAACCUGGGAAUGGCACUUGAAACUACGAUGCUGGAGUAUGGCAGAGGGAGGUGGAAUUCCACGUGUAGCGGUGAAAUGCGUAGAGAUGUGGAGGAACACCGAUGGCGAAGGCAGCCUCCUGGGCCAAUACUGACGCUCAUGCACGAAAGCGUGGGGAGCAAACAGGAUUAGAUACCCUGGUAGUCCACGCCCUAAACGAUGAUGACUAGUUGUUGGAGGAGUUAAAUCCUUUAGUAACGCAGCUAACGCGAGAAGUCAUCCGCCUGGGGAGUACGGUCGCAAGAU